GGUUCCACCUGAGCUGACAGUGACUCCACUGGUGAUCACAGAGUCAGACUCAGUCACUGUGAACUGUCAGACUCCAUCAUCUGUUCCUGUCUAUCAGUGUUGGCUCUACUCAGUGAGGGAUCAAACCUACAGAGUCGUCUCUUGUCAUCAGACACUGACAGGAAGUGAGCUGAUGAAAAUGACUCAUCAAAGUUCACCUGCUGAGAUUGAAGUUACAUGUUAUUACAUUGUAGAGCAAAGAGGAACUAUAUCUGUGUCUCCACUCAGUAACUCUAUCAUCAUACAGAGUAAGUAGCUACUGGGAUAUGUUUUAUUACAGCUUAUUACAAUAUCAACUAAUAUCAAAUCUGAACCAUCACAUGCUUCAAGCUGCAGACAGAGUUAUAAAACCAAUGAUGAACCAGAUGCUGUUUUAGUGUUUUAGGUUUGUCAUAAAAUAUAUAAUUUUUAAUAUAUUAAACAGACAGUCAAACAUCAUCCAUCAAUGUACAGAGUGAGUAAAUGCAUGGGAAUGAAUCAUGUCUUACUUUAUCUGUCAUUAAAAAACGUUUUAAAUACGUUAAUUUAAGUCAGGUUUAACAGGUCUUCAUCUUAAUAGUCUUAUAUUAUAUGAUUUAUGACUUAAUAGUCAUUUUACAAUUAUAGUCUACAUCUGCAGAAAGUCUGCAAUGGACUGGCGACCCGUCCAGGGUGUACCCUGCCUCUCGCCCAUAGCCAGCUGGGUUAGGCUCCAGCACCCCCGUGACCCGCAUAUGGGAAUAAGCGGUUUAGAAGAUGGAUGGAUCUGCAGAAAGUCAAACAUUAUCCCUCACUACAAACUGACUCUCUAAAAUCACUCUGCAUCUUUAUGUGUCAAUACAUGGAAAGCCAAUCAGUUUAAUUUGUUCUUCAGUUUUUAAAAUAUCUUUACAGCAUGUGAUACAUUAAUUGAACCUCUGUUGCAUGUUAUGAGCUCACAGAUGAUUUGACCACAUUUUAUUACAGCUAAUGCAGAAACACAGAGUGUUCCAGCAGCUACUGUCACCACAGGUGAGACUGCUGGUCUUUCAACUGGUGCUUCUUCAGUAUCUGUGAAGUUGGCAUCAGUUUCUGAAGUGAGCAGCUCUACUUUGAUUAUUUCCAAUGAAUUUAUGAAUCAGACAGCAGGAGACAGUUUUCCAGGUGAGAAAUGUGUUUAAAAUUAAAAAAUGCAGAUAAAAGCUGCA